rnacentral:lncRNA from 1 species
GAGAGGACAAGCCAGGAGGACUGCUUGAGCCCAGGAGAAUGAGAACAGUCUGGGCAACACAGUGAGACCCCAUGUCUCAAAAAAAAAAAAAAAAAAAGACAAUUAGCCAGGCAUAGUGGCGUGUACCUGUAGUCCCAGCUACUCUAGCCAAAAUGGAGGAAAAAACUAAGCACUUCUCUAUUUUAACCCCAAAAACAAAAACCACAAAAUAGUGUGGUGUUUUGUUUGUGGAACAGAUUUUGCACUACUAGUUUUAACUUAAAGAUCAAUAGCCUACAAUGUUUUUAAAUAUGAAUUAAAACAGUAGAUUUAAAUUACUAAUUUAUUGAUGAUUUAUUUUAUAGGUCUUAAUCUUUAAUAGCAGUUUUGAUUAAGCUCAGAUAUUAAAAAUACAAAAUUAGAAAUACAUUUAGAACAUAACCUAAUAUGUUUUUAAUUACCUCUACACUAAGACCACAUUUUAUUUAUUUUUAAAUAGAGAUAGGGUCUUGUUACAUUGCCCAGGGUGGUCUCGAACUUCUAAGCUCUAAGCAAUCAACCCUCCUCGGCGUCCCAAAGUGCUGGGAUCACAGGCAUGAGCCACCGCAACAGGCCGUGGACCACACCUUAGACUUCUCUUGAAACACCAGGUAUUCAGUAUACACACAGAUCUAGAACCAGGUCCAAACUUGUACAUCCUUGAGUCAAAGGUGGAAUAACAUUAAAUUUUCCAGCUGCCCAGCUCUAGUCAGCUGUUAACAUCACUUAAAAAUCUAAUUAUUCCAGAAAGCUUAGUCCACCCAUGUCAUCCUCUACCUAUAGAAGCCAUAAUUGUAAUAGCAAAUGACAAUAUAAAUACAUUAUACAUAUACUGCAAGUAUCCUUCUGUAGCUUUUAUAUUUUCUCAGAUAACUAUAUAUUAAAAAAUUAUUAAUCUGCUCGAGCCUUAGCAGGUUGAACACUAUCAAUGCAAAACAAAACAAAAUAGCAUUAGGUUAUUAAACAUUUGAUUAUUUAUUUACCUUUGUUGAGUGUAUCUUGUAAUUGACCAAUAUAUAAGCAUUUGUAAUGCUUAUAUAUAAGCUUAUAUAACCAAUAUAUAAGCAUUUGUAAUGUUUAUUUAACAUAAUAAAUGAUAUUAUUUAUUUAAUAUCUGCUAUGUGCCAAGCACGGUCAUAUUUCAUUCUAACUGUGAGAAGUUGGAAUUAUUCCCAUUUUACAGAUAAGGAAACUGAGACUCUCAGAGAUUAUGUGAUGA